AUUGAACGCUGGCGGCAGGCCUAACACAUGCAAGUCGAGCGGAAGCAGAGUACUUGCUUGUGGUUUCAGCGGCGGACUGGCGAGUAAUGCCUAAAUAUCUGCCAGGUUGUGGUGGAUUACGUCAGGACACGGGCGCUAAUACCGUAUACGUCCUGAGGGCGUAAGUGGGUGAUCUUCGGAUCUCCCGCUAUCAGGUGAGUCUAGGAGGGGUUGGCUAAUUGGCGGGGUAGAGGCCUAAAAAGGCGACGAUCCGUAGCUGGUUUGAGAGGUUGAUCGGCCACACUGGAACUGGGAAACGGUCCAGCCUCCUACGGGAGGCAGCAGUGGGGAAUAUUGGCCAAUGGGCGCAAGCCUGAUCAAGCCAUACCGCGGGGGUGAAGAAGGCCUUCGGGUUGUAAAGCCCUUUGUUGGGAAAGAAAAGCAGCAGGUUAAUACCCCGCUGUUCUGACGGUACCCAAAGAAUAAGCACCGGCUAACUUCGUG
rnacentral:rRNA from 1 species